GCCUGUCCUAUAAUCGAUACCCCCCGUUUCAACCUCACCAUUUUUAGUUUACCAGCCUGUAUACUUCCGUCGCCAGCUUACCGCGUGAGCGUUACAAGUAAGCUUAAUGUCCACCCACAACACGUCAGGUCAAAGUGCAGCAAAUAAAAUGGGAAGAGAUGGGCUACACUUUCUAGCAUAGAAAAUACGAAAGACUACAUGAAACCCAGUCAGAAGGCGGAUUUAGUAGUAAGAAGGGUAUAGUAUACCCCCCUUAACCUGGCACUGGGGUGUGUACACACCGCCCGUCACCCUCUUCAAUAUUCAACCUUAGUUCAUAACAACUCACUUCACCCUUAGAAGAGGUAAGUCGUAACAUGGUAAGUAUACCGGAAGGUGUGCUUGGAAA
rnacentral:rRNA from 1 species